UACGAAGGGGGCUAGCGUUGCUCGGAUUGACUGGGCGUAAAGGGCGCGUAGGCGGUUUGUACAGUCAGACGUGAAAUUCCUGGGCUCAACCUGGGGGCUGCGUUUGAUACGUAUGGACUUGAGUUCGGAAGAGGAUCGCGGAAUUCCCGGGUGAUAGAGGUGAAAUUCGUAGAUAUCGGGAGGAACACCGGUGGCGAAGGCGGCGAUCUGGGUCGAUACGUGACGCUGAGGUGCGAAAGCGUGGGGAGCAAACAGG
rnacentral:rRNA from 1 species